rnacentral:rRNA from 1 species
UCGAGAAUCAUUCGCAAUGGGCGCAAGCCUGACGAUGCGACGCCGUGUGAGCGAUGAAGGCCUUAGGGUUGUAAAGCUCUUUUGCCGGGGACGAUAAUGACGGUACCCGGAGAAUAAGUCCCGGCUAACUUCGUGCCAGCAGCCGCGGUAAUACGAAGGGGACUAGCGUUGUUCGGAAUCACUGGGCGUAAAGCGCACGUAGGCGGAUUUGUAAGUCAGGGGUGAAAUCCCGGGGCUCAACCUCGGAACUGCCUUUGAUACUGCGGAUCUCGAGUCCGAUAGAGGUGAGUGGAAUUCCUAGUGUAGAGGUGAAAUUCGUAGAUAUUGGGAAGAGCACCGGUGGCGAAGGCGGCUCACUGGCUCGUUUCUGACGCUGUAGCGCGAAAGCGUGGGGAGCAAACAGGAUUAGAUACCCCCGUAGUCCCUGAGCGGGCUGGCAAGGCGCAU